GAGAGUUUAGUUAAUCAAUAACAUUGGCUUGUCAAGCUAAAAUAAAUGCUAGAUAUUAACUUUCA
rnacentral:tRNA from 1 species